rnacentral:lncRNA from 1 species
UCUCCAUUUGCAAUGAUGUCCUUUACUUAAAAAUUCAAUAUUUUAAAAAUUUAAAAAAUAUUAUAUUACAUAUAACGAUAGAUCUCUCUUUUGAUUAAUAUAUAUAUUUUAUGAUAUCUAUAUAUUUAUAUAUUUUAGUAUGGAUCCAAAAAUUAUAUACAUUGAUUAAUUGACUGCCUAGUUUGAAUAGUUUAAAAAUUAUAAUUAAUUCUAUAGAUAAUUAUAGU